ACACGUAGGGGGCGAGCGUUGUUCGGAAUUACUGGGCGUAAAGGGCAUGUAGGCGGGCUGUUAAGUCGGCCGUGAAAGGCACUGGCUCAACCGGUGUUUGUCGGUCGAUACUGGCAGUCUGGAGUAUGGGAGAGGGAACUGGAAUUCCCGGUGUAGCGGUGAAAUGCGUAGAUAUCGGGAAGAACACCGAUGGCGAAGGCAAGCUCCUGGCCGAUAACUGACGCUGAGGUGCGAAAGUGUGGGGAUC
rnacentral:rRNA from 1 species